rnacentral:rRNA from 1 species
AGGGGGUUUGAUCAUGGGCUCAGGACGAACGCUGGCGGCGUGCCUAAUACAUGCAAGUCGAGCGAAUCAAUGGGAGCUUGCUCCCUGAGAUUAGCGGCGGACGGGUGAGUAACACGUGGGUAACCUGCCUGUAAGAUUGGGAUAACUCCGGGAAACCGGAGCUAAUACCGGAUAACAUUUUGAACCGCAUGGUUCAAAAUUGAAAGGUGGCUUUUGCUACCACUUACAGAUGGACCCGCGGCGCAUUAGCUAGUUGGUGAGGUAACGGCUCACCAAGGCAACGAUGCGUAGCCGACCUGAGAGGGUGAUCGGCCACACUGGGACUGAGACACGGCCCAGACUCCUACGGGAGGCAGCAGUAGGGAAUCUUCCGCAAUGGACGAAAGUCUGACGGAGCAACGCCGCGUGAACGAUGAAGGCCUUCGGGUCGUAAAGUUCUGUUGUUAGGGAAGAACAAGUACCAGAGUAACUGCUGGUACCUUGACGGUACCUAACCAGAANGCCACGGCUAACUACGUGCCAGCAGCCGCGGUAAUACGUAGGUGGCAAGCGUUGUCCGGAAUUUAUUGGGCGUAAAGCGUACGCAGGCGGUUUCUUUAAGUCUGAUGUGAAAGCCCACGGCUCAACCGGGGAGGGUCAUGGGAAACUGGGGAACUUGGAUUAGAAAGAGGAGAGUGGAAUUCCACGUGUAGCGGUG